GCGGAAGUGGUGGAAUUGGUAGACACGCUGGAUUUAGGUUCCAGUGCCGCAAGGCGUGAGAGUUCAAGUCUCUCCUUCCGCACCA
rnacentral:tRNA from 1 species